GACGAACGCUGGCGGCGUGCUUAACACAUGCAAGUCGAACGGAAAGGCCCUGCUUUUGUGGGGUGCUCGAGUGGCGAACGGGUGAGUAACACGUGAGUAACCUGCCCUUGACUUUGGGAUAACUUCAGGAAACUGGGGCUAAUACCGGAUAGGAGCUCCUGCUGCAUGGUGGGGGUUGGAAAGUUUCGGCGGUUGGGGAUGGACUCGCGGCUUAUCAGCUGGUUGGUGGGGUAGUGGCUUACCAAGGCUUUGACGGGUAGCCGGCCUGAGAGGGUGACCGGCCACAUUGGGACUGAGAUACGGCCCAGACUCCUACGGGAGGCAGCAGUGGGGAAUAUUGCACAAUGGGCGGAAGCCUGAUGCAGCAACGCCGCGUGCGGGAUGACGGCCUUCGGGUUGUAAACCGCUUUCGCCUGUGACGAAGCGUGAGUGACGGUAAUGGGUAAAGAAGCACCGGCUAACUAUGUG
rnacentral:rRNA from 1 species